rnacentral:rRNA from 1 species
UGGGUUUAGACCGUCGUGAGACAGGUUAGUUUUACCCUACUGUUUAUAUUAUUAAGAAAAGUUAUAUAGUACGAGAGGAACAAUAAGUGAUGACCUCUGGUGUAGCGAUUAAUUAUUCAAUUAUGUUGCAAAACUACGUCAUGAAUAAUAAAUGCUGAAAGCCUCUUAAGCAUGAAGUUAAUCUUAAUGAUAGACAACUGAGGAAUACUACCUUUCUGAAGAGUGGGACUGUAAGAAUGAAGGUGUAUACCGACAUUUUGAGGUUACCAUUUCGUUCUGUAUAAAAAUA